rnacentral:rRNA from 1 species
AACGAACGCUGGCGGCAGGCUUAACACAUGCAAGUCGAGCGCCCCGCAAGGGGAGCGGCAGACGGGUGAGUAACGCGUGGGAAUCUACCUUUUGCUACGGAAUAACGCAGGGAAACUUGUGCUAAUACCGUAUGUGCCCUUCGGGGGAAAGAUUUAUCGGCAAAGGAUGAGCCCGCGUUGGAUUAGCUAGUUGGUGGGGUAAAGGCCUACCAAGGCGACGAUCCAUAGCUGGUCCGGGAGGAUGAUCAGCCACAUUGGGACUGAGACACGGCCCAAACUUCUACGGGGAGGAGCAGUGGGGAAUAUUUGACAAUGGGCGCAAGGCUGAUCCAGGCAUUCCGGGUGGGGGAAUAAGGGCUUUAGGUUUGAAAGGUCUUUCACCGGUGAAGAUAAUGACGGUAACCGGAGAAGAAGCCCCGGCUAACUUCGUGCCAGCCGCCGCGGUAAAAC